rnacentral:tRNA from 1 species
GAGGUUGUGGCUCAGUGGUAGAGCGCUCACCUAGUACAUGCGAGGGCCUGAGUUUGAUCCUUAGCACUACA